CUCUCCACAAAGUUCUCUAUGAAAAUGAGAAUCUUGAUGAUGCUGCACCGGCAAUCAACGACUAUUCUUUCCCUCUCUCUCUCUCUCCCUCUGUAUAGAUUAUUUGGAUUCCAUCCAGAUCUUCUUCAGGUUUUUGGCAGUCUUUAUCAAGACAUUAAUAGAUCCACAAGCUUCUAUUUCAAUAAGUGAACAAGAGUCACAACAUCAAGAUCAGUAAGGUAAGAGAGAUCUACUUAAGGUAACUAAUAUAUAUGCCUUAUUUCUUAUGUUGCCAAUCCUACCUUGCAUUUCCAAAACAACACAAUAUAGUUUUGUUUUGUUAGAAACAAAAAAGGAUAUUAUAUAUGGAAGUUGAGAUAAUAUAUAUAACAGGUCUAUAUGG
rnacentral:precursor_RNA from 1 species